rnacentral:rRNA from 1 species
AGCGAACGCUGGCGGCAGGCCUAACACAUGCAAGUCGAACGAACUCUUCGGAGUUAGUGGCGGACGGGUGAGUAACACGUGGGAACGUGCCUUUUGGUUCGGAAUAACUCAGGGAAACUUGUGCUAAUACCGAAUGUGCCCUUCGGGGGAAAGAUUUAUCGCCAUUAGAGCGGCCCGCGUCUGAUUAGCUAGUUGGUGAGGUAACGGCUCACCAAGGCGACGAUCAGUAGCUGGUCUGAGAGGAUGACCAGCCACACUGGGACUGGGACACGGCCCAGACUCCGGAGGGGGGGCGAAGGGGGGAACCUUCGGCAAGGGGCGAAAGCCUAAGGCCGCCUGGCCGGGGAAAUGAUGAAGGUUUAAGGAUUGGAAAAUUCUUUCACCGGGGGCGAUAAGGCGGGAACCGGGGAAAAAAGCCCCGGUAACUUCGUG